CUGUCUGGCAUUUCUGAGUUUUUUUUUCUGAUUAUUACCAGCAAGUACUUGUUAAUAAGAAUUAUCAUAUACUUUUGUAAAUGUAGAAAUAUUGGUAUGUAUUCCAAUACCAAACAAAAUUGCAUGUUUGUUUGUUUUAAGUGUGGUCAAUUGUCUAAAGCCUAGACGGACAAAGGAAGCUGCAAUUGCUUCUGUAACUCAUUGUCCCACCGACCAGCUGUGGUGACGCCAGUCGCCAACAGCUACAGCGCUUUUCCAGGAGGCUUCAGUUAUUCUGUGACUGGUGACCAAGGCACGACACAUCACCUCCCAGCAACUCACAAUCUCGCUGGCGGAGAGUGUUGCUGAGCAGCUGACCAACUGCGGCUGCUGGAGCGUUUCUCAGUCGUCGACCUCCGUAGACUGUCAAGCCUCCCUGGCCUUCUGCGACUCAAGAAGGAGGGAUUUUUAUCUGUGUUUACCAUACAAGAGACAUUUUAAUCUGACGAUUCGAUCGGAUCUGGAUCAUGAAUCCCGAG